rnacentral:rRNA from 1 species
AUGCUUCUCCGACCCCGCCCCUUCCUCCUGCAGGCCCUCACACCGCUUCCCUUCUCCCGUGGCCCCCUCGCGGUCCGCCGCACGCUCUCAGCGCACGCCGCGGCAGCCGGGGCUGCCCCCCGCGGCGAUGCGCCCGCGCCGGCGCGAACCCGCCACAAGAACUCCCGGAAGGCCGAGCCGCCUAGGGUGCCCAUGGAUACGGCGCUGUUCUUCCCGCCGGGGGUAGACCGGGACGCGGCUGUCGCGGCGGAGAUGUUGAUUCCGGGGUCGAACAUCGUGGUGGGACCGUACGCCGGGGACGCGAGGGUAAAGGAGGCUGAGUUCAUCGGGUGCAGCGCGCACGCCCGGGACUGCCCGAAGGACGACCGCCCUGAGUUCGCCGUCCUCGGCCGCUCCAACGUCGGCAAGUCCUCUCUCAUCAAUACACUCACGCGCCGCAAGGAAGUCGCACUCACCUCCAAGAAGCCUGGGAAGACUCAAACAAUUAACCAUCAUUUGAUUAACAAAAGUUGGUACCUUGUGGAUUUGCCUGGUUACGGGUUUGCAGCUGCGUCCAAGACAGCUCGAACGGAUUGGUCUUCAUUUACCAAGGGGUAUUUCUUGAACAGGGACACUUUGGUCGGUGUACUGCUCCUUGUUGAUGCUAGUGUUCCAACUCAACAAAUUGACCUUGACUGUGCUAACUGGCUUGGUCGUAACAAUGUCGGGCUAACCUUUGUGUUCACCAAGUGUGACAAAGUAAAGAAAGGCAAAGGGGGUCGGCCUGAUGAGAACAUCAAAGUGUUCCUGGAGAACAUUGGCUCGCUCUAUCCAAAGCCUCCUCCAUGGAUCAUGACGAGCAGCACCACAGGACUAGGCCGUGACGGACUGCUCCUCCAUAUGUCGCAGUUGAGGAACUACUGGGACAAUGAGGCAACCUAA